rnacentral:rRNA from 1 species
AUUGAACGCUGGCGGCAGGCUUAACACAUGCAAGUCGAACGCGUGGCGGACGGGUGAGUAAUGCUUGGGAAUCUAGCUUAUGGAGGUGGGUAACUCCGGGAAACUGUAGCUAAUACCGCGUACUCUAGGAUGAGCCCAGGUGGGAUUCGGUAGUUGGUGAGGUAAAGGCUCACCACGCCGACGAUCUCUCGCUGGUCUGAGAGGAUGACCAGCCGCACUGGGACUGAGACACGGCCCAGCCUCCGACGGGAGGCCGCGGGGGUGAAUAUGGCGCAAUGGGGGCAACCUGAUGCAGCCAUGCCGCGUGAUUGAGGAAGGCCUUCGGGUUUUAAAGUUCUUUAGUUAGCGAGGCGUUAGUUAGAGAAGAAGCGCCGGCUAACUACGUGCCAGCAGCCGCGGUAAUUC